AGGUGGAAUCUUCAACUCAAUAUCCAGUAUGCGGCCAUACUUGUAAAAUAGAUCUUCAACUUCCCCUUCUCUUAUAUCUGAUGGCAAGUUGCCAACAUAAAUUGUCCGAGAAAAGCGGCCACUCAUUUCUGCUACCACAGGAAUAUAGCAAAGCUUUCACUGCAAAGAGCAAAUCAAUCACAUAAAUAGAGAAAAACUUCCUCAACUUUUCAGAAAUACAGCAACUCCAUUCACUCCUGAUCCAUUUAUCAUCAGCAUUCUGACGAUAGUGAAAUUAGCAAAACCAAAAACUAUGAAGCAAACCAAGUGAGCAAUCCUCCAUGUGAGCGGUGCUCCAAAAGCUCCAUUGCUCAUUUGCUCCAAGAUGCUCCAAAGCUAUAACAAAUUUGAAAUUUAUUUUGAUCUCCUCAUCCUCCCCUGAAUUUUUGCAGGCGUAUAGUUCUUCUGAGGGUGAGCAACAAUCUCCAUUUAUAAAAAAUAAUACCCAUUAGUCCACCCUGAUUCUCCCACUCCCUCUCUAUAUCCCUAUGUAUGAUUGCAAAGCUCAAAUUUGUCCAAGCGCUUGUCAUCUAUCAUAAAGAAAGCAUUUGUGUCAUGAGAUCAGGUAAGCUUGACAUAUAUUUAUGCAUUCACCUUGCUCAGUUCUCUUUUUCAACAAUUUGAAGAAAAAAAAUCCCGGAAAAUAGAUAUAGCAUCCCCCAGUUCCAUUAAUUUUUGUCAAACAAUGAAACUCCAAAACAAAUCAUCUUCAGGGAGAGAAGGGGGGACAUGUUACUUUGUCAACCUGUCAUUUAAAUUUUCCUUUUGGUAAUAGAGCAGAGCUUUAUUGACAAACAACACAGGCAUGAUGUGAAUCAAGAAAACUUUGGCCUGUAGCGUUCAAUAUAUAAUGGAUAGAUAUAAGUUGUGUAGUCAUUUUUACUGAAAUUUUAUUUAUUAGCACAGCUGGUGCUUUGCAGAUCCAGAAAUACUUAUCACUAAGCGCAAAAUUUGUGUAUAUAGCUAUAUAUGUGUGUAUAUAUAGGUGGCUAUAUAUUUACUCAACCAAAAAAAGAUAAAUAUCUACAGAAAUGGGCGGGGAUCAAUGGGGGCACUUGCCACCAUUUCUCCCAAUGCGGAUCCGCCACUAAGCACAGCUAUGGAAUAACCUAAAUUGAUAAUAUACUGGAAUUCCCUAUUUUCAUAAUACUAAUUAAAGAAAUAGUAAUACCCAAUGUAGCUGAUAUGAAUCUGGGUGCCCUCCUAUGAUACUUAUACAUCUGCUACCAAAACUUAAAAUCAUUUUGCAACAACCAUAAUACCAUGUGCAAGACAGCAAUAAAUGAAAACUAGCGUCAGGUACAUCUAUCACUGAGCUUGAGUAAUCAAAGUGAGUGCCUUUGAAUAUGGCUCUCAUAUAGCAAUACGCUCAAUUUCACUGAACUCUCGUUUAUCAUCAAGAAUUCUUCUUUGACCAUAUCUGUUAACUUAAUCCACUAAUGUCCUCUAAGUAGAAAAUUACUUACAUUGCAAAGAGAGAGAGAGAGAGAG
rnacentral:misc_RNA from 1 species